rnacentral:rRNA from 1 species
UACGUAGGGUGCGAGCGUUGUCCGGAAUUAUUGGGCGUAAAAGGGCUCGUAGGCGGUCUGUCGCGUCUGCUGUGAAAACUCAGGGCUUAACCCUGAGCUUGCAGUGGGUACGGGCAGACUAGAGUGCGGUAGGGGAGACUGGAAUUCCUGGGUGUAGCGGUGAAAUGCGCAGAUAUCAGGAGGAACACCGGUGGCGAAGGCGGCCUGC